UGGGGAAUAUUGGACAAUGGGCGCAAGCCUGAUCCAGCCAUGCCGCGUGAGGGAUGAAGGCCCUAGGGUUGUAAAGCUCUUUCACCGGUGAAGAUAAUGACGGUAACCGGAGAAGAAGCCCCGGCUAACUUCGUGCCAGCAGCCGCGGUAAUACGAAGGGGGCUAGCGUUGUUCGGAUUUACUGGGCGUAAAGCGCACGUAGGCGGACUUUUAAGUCAGGGGUGAAAUCCCGGGGCUCAACCCCGGAACUGCCUUUGAUAAUGGAAGUCUUGAGUAUGGUAGGGGUGAGUGGAAUUCCGAGUGUAGAGGUGAAAUUCCUAGAUAAUCGGAGGAACACCAGUGGCGAAGGCGGCUCACUGGACCAUUACUGACGCUGAGGUGCGAAAGCGUGGGGAGCAAACAGG
rnacentral:rRNA from 1 species